AUUCCCUCCACCUGAGAUGUUGUGACUCAACGGCCAGAGGGGGCCAGGGGAGAAUUGACGUCUCUUCCCCUCAACAUGGCCUCUGGAAAACUCAGUUAGGAAAGGGACAGAGAUGCAAGCUUGGGAGACAAGAAUUCCUCUGCCAAGUUGGGAAGGCUCUCAGCGUGGCCAGAGGCACCAAGAACUCCCAUUUCCACCAGGAUUCCCUGGAAUGGUUCAGUUCCGGGCAAUUUGUCUUUGAAUGCAAAGUCGAGAGGGCAAGGAUUAGCUCAGGAAGCCAUUGCUCCUACAGGAAAUCUACUACAUCUUGAUAUGCCCCCAGUUUACAAAGUCUUGAGAGUCCUGGCAUCUUCUAAAGCCUCGGCCUCACCAUUGCACGUCUUGGAGAGG
rnacentral:lncRNA from 1 species